GACGGAGGGUGCAAGCGUUGCUCGGAAUUAUUGGGCGUAAAGGGUGCGUAGGCGGCUCCUUAAGUCUGACGUGAAAGCCCAGGGCUCAGCCUUGGAAGUGCGCCAGAAACUGUGGAGCUAGAGUGCCGGAGGGGAGAGUGGAAUUCCUGGUGUAGCGGUGAAAUGCGUAGAUGUCAGGAGGAAUAUCGGUGGCGAAAGCGACUCUCUGGACGGUAACUGACGCUGAGGCACGAAAGCGUGGGUAGCAAACAGG
rnacentral:rRNA from 1 species